rnacentral:rRNA from 1 species
AGCGAACGCUGGCGGCGUGCCUAACACAUGCAAGUCGAACGUGAAAAGGGAAACCUGAGUAAAGUGGCGUACGGGUGAGUAACGCGUAGGUAAUCUACCCCAGAUUCUGGAAUAACCUGCCGAAAGGCGGGCUAAUACUGGAUAGAGCGAGGGAACUCGUAAGAGAGUUUUUCGGGAAAGGGAGCCCGCAAGGGCCUUCGUUCUGGGAUGAGCCUGCGUCUCAUUAGCUAGUUGGUAAGGUAACGGCUUACCAAGGCGAUGAUGAGUAGCUGGUCUGAGAGGAUGAUCAGCCAGACUGGAACUGAAACACGGUCCAGAGUCCUACGGGAGGCAGCAGUGGGGAAUCUUGAGCAAUGGACGAAAGUCUGACGCAGCCACGCCGCGUGAGUGAAGAAGGCCUUCGGGUUGUAAAGCUCUGUCGGAUGGGACGAACAUCUUCAUAGUGAAUAGCUAUGAGGACUGACGGUACCAUCAAAGGAAGCACCGGCUAACUCCGUG